GUGUGUGACUAUGUGUCUAUGUUGAGGGAGUAGGAAGGAGGUAAGGAAAGCAACAUGAAGUUCACACCAUCUGCAGUGGUACAGAGAAGUAAGUUCUUGGGGGAUGUAGCUGACCCUGGUCUAGUGUUUAGUUUGCUCUUAGGCUAAAUGGCAAACAGGAAGCACUCGGCCUCCUCUCUGUGUAUUCAGUGCUAUCCAUUUCAUCUACUUUCAUCUCAGCAAGGCAUUGAGAUGUUUUACUUCAGAGCAGAGGCUGAGGCUUUUUGUUAGGGCUGUGUUUUAUGUGCUUUUGAAGAUGCCAGUGGCAGAGGGCCCAAGAGACUGUCAUCCUUGGAUCUCACGCUUAAUGGCUUACCUCCUUCUUAGAGGUGGCCCAACCCUGUGGGAAGAUCACUUUCUUCCCUGCUCACCACUCUGUCUUUUCCAUACAUACACAUAUUUUUGCUCUAGAGAAUUUAUAUAGUCCUUAUAGAAUUUGAGGGUCUGAAAAUAGUUUAGAGUUUUGUUUCAAUGAUGAGGAUACUAAAUAAAGAACUUGCUCAUAAAACGUAAACUUAAGGUCAUUGCAGAAAUUGGCAACAACUCUUAAGGACUUGGUGUUCUCAUUCAAAACGUAGACUCUUAAUCCAACAAAGUUAAUCACAGCGACAGCAAAGCCAACAACAAUAGUGAUAAUCACUGUUAGUAACUCAAAGUCCACAUCGUCAGGCAUUGUGCGGGGUGUGCGACAUCAUACCUGAUUCUCUCAGUACCCCCAUAGGGUUGGGUUAUUAGUUGUUAUUCUAAUUUUAGAGAUAGUGGGUGCUCAGAAGUAUGUAAUAAUAUAAUAAGAUAAGCUUUAAUGCAACUCAAUUCAAAAUGUGUUAUACUAGGACCACCUUGGACCAGCUAAUGAGAACCAUUUGUAAGUUAGCAUCUGUUGUAUUUCAAAAACCAUGGGCGGCGGCCUUGGCCAAAGGGCAGACUGGAAACUCACUGGUACCAUGCAGACAGCGCUCACGUGGAGGAUUUUAUUAAGGGAAGGGAAGAAGAGACGCAGAGUGCACCUCUGGAGAUAAGAGAAAAAGACGGAAGAGAUGGGAAAAGGAGAAGAGAGGAGGUUCAGACACGACCUUGUGGGAAGAGAAGAAGAGAGAGAAAGUUCUGCGAUUACAGGCGUGGACCACCACGCUGGUUUAUGCAGCACUGAGGACUGUACCCAGGAAUUCAUGAAUGGGAAAAGAACACAUGGGGCUGCCAUGCUCCUUAAUGGUAACGAUGUUUGGUGCCAGUGGGGUUGCUGUGCUGCAGGGAGGGGAGCAUCAUGGAGGACGGUGAAGAGCUGCUGCCUCAGUGGUUGAGAGAUGAGUGUCUGUAGCCGGCUGUUUCCAGGCAUGAGUGCAGAGCUCUCCCUCCACAGCCCUUCCUUUUUUAAAAAUACUUUUUUGAAAGCAUAAUAAAGUUUAAUAUGCAUAUGUAAUAUGUCUAUGUAUGUAGGUUAUGUGUAUGAUUCUUUAUAGAGUACGUAAUUUUCACCUACCCGAAAUAUCAUUUGCUAUGACUUACUGAUCGCAAGAAACUUGUUGAGCACAAAAUAUCGAAGGUGUGCUGCCACUUUAUUAAUAGCAUAAUAAUCGAUAAUGUAAUAAUAGGUCAAGAAGUCAAUAGUACAAAUAUUCAUGAAUUUUAAGUAAAACUAUAAAAUAAUGCUCAAUUCAUUUUAGCAACUAAAUUUGCUUUACUGUUGCUGUGAUAAGAUACCAUGACCAAAAGAACUCUGGGAGGAGGUUUAUUUGGCUUUCCAACUGGAUGGUGAACUCCAAGGUUGCUCGUCUCAGCUCUGGGACUCUGCAUCCUUGGCAUGCUAACAGAAGGUGCUUAAUAUCUCUCAUGAAGGGCAACUUCUUUUUUUUCAGUUUUUCAAGACAGGGUUUCUCUGUGUAGCUUUGCACCUUUCCUGGAACUCACUCUGUAGCCCAGGCUGGCCUUGAACUCGCAGAGAUCUGCCUGCCUCUGCUUCCUGAGUGCUGGGAUUAAAGGCAUGUGCCAACACUGCCAGGCUGGCAACUUGCUUUUUAAGCCCUACAACUCCCUCUACCCCUCACCCUGGGACAGUGGCCUGCUAUUAGUAUAUUCAUCCAGCCUGAUGUGAUCAUGUAUAUUCAGAAAUUCUCCUAUUCAAAGUAUCACGAGUCUCAGUGUCAGGAUAGUUGGAGUCCUACUCCUCUAAACUUUUCCUUUGUGAAUAUCAGAACUGAGCUACAAGAGCCUUAAGCUGUAGAAGCAAUGAGUAAAGCUAAUAAGACAGUGUUGAAUAAAUGGUUUUCCCCCUCUACUUCUGGUAGGAAAGACUAGUACAGAAUGACCUAGCAAAAAUGUGUUGGAACUAGCCCUUGACCUCGGGUUUUUAAUGAGAAGUAAUACAGGUAGGUUUAAAGUCUGACUUCAGCAUUAUAAAAGAUGACAUGUAUUCAUCGGUUUAUUCAUGGACUGCAUUGUGUCUGUUACACACUCAUUGGCGGUGCCAAAGGGCUCAGCGGAUGGUGCGGAAAGACAAAAUGAGAUGAGAAGCAAUCAGAGCCUCUAUUCAACUAACCAACCUUGAGUGCUUCCAACCACUGGCUCUUCUGCGCUCUCAGAGUGGCCAUGCAUCUUAAGACAGCUCCCCGUGACCUUCUUAUUAAAUGCUAACUUGAAUACGCUGGUCCUAUUUCUGUCAAGUGAAAAGCCACAGGAAAAUUGCAGUUCUUUUCCAUUCUAUGUCCUAUAAACCACCACUUGGCAUUCCCUUUUGUCUUUAAAAUCUUAGCUUGAAUUUCUUCCUCUGUGAGGCUCUCAAGAGUGAUUUCUUUUACUGUGUGAGUAUAAGCUUGCACUCCUAAAAUUGUGUGUCAGGACACAUAUUAAACAGAGAUUCUAGAGUAUACUAUGAAGCCUCCGUAGAAAAUCCUGAGGUGGGUGAGUCAGAAGAUAACACUGCUUAGUGACUGCCUUGCCUAGUUUUCAUGUCAGUUUGACAGAAGCUACAGUCAUCUGAGAGGAGGGAACCUUGACAGAGAAAAUGACUCUAGAAGAUUGGUCCGCAGCCAAGCUUCUAGAGCAUUUUUUGAUUAAUGAAUUAUGUGGGUGGGUGUUUCCCAUUGUAGGUGGUGCCACACCUGGACAGGUGGUUCUGGAUAGUAUAAGAAAGCAUGCUGAGCAAGCCAAGAGAAGUGAAUCAGUAAGCAUCAUUCCUCCUUGGCUUCUGCUUCAGUUCCUGUCUCCAGUUUCCUGCCUAGAGUUCCUGCCCUGACUUCUUUUGAUGAUAGACUAUCAUGUGGAACUGUAAGCUGAAUGAACCCUUUCCUUCCUGAGUUGGUUUGGUAACAGUAUUUUGUGACAGCAAUACAAACCCUAACUAGAGAUAAUGACUGUAUAGUUAUUAGGGAUUUGUCUUUGUUGAACAUUUAUUGUGUGCUUUAGUUAUUAUCUCUAUGUAUUUUUGAUAGUGAGUAAAUACUUCUAUCACCACUCAUUGAAUUUAUAUAAUUAUAUUGUUAUUGAGUAAAUAUAAGUGUGUAUUAUAUAUGUAUUAUGUAAUUGAAUAAUUAUUUGUAUCAUCUAUCAUAUUGCAAUGUUUGAUGGUUUUUUAUUGUCUUCAGUUCUUACCUCUGUACAUGGCACACAACAGGAUCUCUAUAAAUAACAGUCCAAUAAGUGAGAGGAAACAAAGGAAAUAAAUUUGAUGAUGUCAGAGACAAGGUUAGUGUUUGUACUAUUCUGAAAGGUAUGACACUUAUCCCAUGGUAUGACACUUAUUCUAUAGUAUGACAUUUAUUCCAUGCUUUCAGGGAAGUUUUAGGACCAGUGGAUUCAUCUAGCGCGCACACACACACACACACACACACACACACACACACACACACACACACAUAGCGAGAUGCUAAGAGGUAGGUGAAGCAUUUAAUCCAUCAUGGAAUCUCAUUCAGUUCAGGAUGUAAAUGACUCAAAGGUUUUAGGUAGUUUCUGAAACUGACAAAAUGUGUUAGACACCGCCCUCCCCAAGCCUGUGUAAGCUACAGGACUGAGGAGAGAUACUCUCAGACAAGCUGAGCUGCCUAGAGAUGAUCAGACCAGCUGAGGCACCUGGAAUAAGCCGAGACAAGCUGAGCUGCCCCAAAGACUCAAACCAGAUCAGCUCCUGGAGGCCAAGAGAGCUGCCUGGAAGAACUCAGACCAACUGAACUACCUGGAAAUGGCGCUUUCCAACCUGUUGAGCAGUCUUCACAUUGUGCAGUGCACUUCAUGUUUCCAUCUCUCGUGAGCUGGCACCCAUGCUGGGGAAGGGUUUGGUGAUGAAGCUGUUUUCAACUCCAUAGGCUCCUUUAAGUAACUCUUAUUCCCAUAUUUCUACAUGUAACCCCAAUAAAGCUCAGUGAUUCACCAA